ensembl:antisense Gm10830 predicted gene 10830
GGCUCCGGAGGGGGGGGGGUGUAAUAGCGCGGGAGGUGGGGCUAAGGGGACCCUCAUCCUCCCUUUCCGACAAGUGGGGGUCCUGAGCGCUGCCCAGAAGGGGUCCAGAGAAUGUUGUGGGCUGGGGCACACCCGCCGGGGCAGAAAUUGGAGGACACCACCGACGUCGACAGAAUCCUUUCUAUCCUUCCUUUCAGCUGCCCGGUGUUCUCCACCCCUGCGUUAGCACUCUGUAGUCUGGGGACCUCCCGGGAACGUCCCGGGGCUAGCAACCAAGGGGGCUCUCGGAUGCUCUGUGGAUCGCCGCUUCGCCCUUACUUUGGGGACGGUCACACGCGUCCCGCUUCCCCCGGUCGCUUUAGAUCAGGCGUCUGCGCCCUCCCCGGCUCCUCACCCCCACCCCCAGAGUCAAAUGUGGGCCUCUCCUGGAAAUCCUUUGCGAAGGGGACAAACUUUUGAGUGGACGAAAAUCUAUUGGAGCCUGUCCAGAGCAGCCAAGAUGAUGUUGCUGAACAAGUGUAGGCCAAAGCCUGAGGACCACAGUGCUCUGUCUUGACCCUGAUGCCAAAGGGAAUCAUCACACUGGGCCACCCUGCUCUGGGCUCUGGGUGCUUCACCUCCGUGACCCUGCUUCU